rnacentral:rRNA from 1 species
UACGGAGGGUGCUAGCGUUGUUCGGAAUCACUGGGCGUAAAGCGCGUGUAGGCGGCCCACUAAGUCUGAUGUGAAAGCCCGGGGCUCACCCCCGGAAGUGCAUUGGAAACUGGUGGACUCGAGUCCCGGAGAGGAGGGUGGAAUUCCUGGUGUAGCGGUGAAAUGCGUAGAUAUCAGGAGGAACACCGGUGGCGAAGGCGGCCCUCUGGACGGUGACUGACGCUGCGACGCGAAAGCGUGGGGAGCAAACAGG